rnacentral:lncRNA from 1 species
UUCCCAAUAAUAAAAGGCACCCUCACUUGCUUAUUAACUCUCACCUCCCCACUAUUGUUAAGCCAUUGCAGCUUAUAAUCUUUAGGAUGUUUUGUAGUUUCCAAACCCAGUUUAUCAACAAAUAAGGUACUAGCCACAUUUACACAACUACCCCCAUCAACAAUCAUGCUACACAAUUUUCUGUUCACUAAACAUCUAGAAUGAAAAAUGUUCUCUC